CGUGUAUAUAAAUAUGAAUAUUAAUCAUAUCUAAACGGUUUAUAUUUAAAUAAGUUGUACAGGUUAUACAGGCAUAAUCUUUUUAAAAUGUUGGCUGUAAUUUUUCUGAUAGCAUUGGCUGGUCAUCUAGUUACAAGUGCCAACACUGAAUGUAUAUAUGAUAGAACGGUACAUCAUGUCGGGGAUGUGUGGACGACUGUAGAAGGGUGUAAUACGUGUAGAUGUACUGCUACUGGAAUGAUCUGUUCCUUCCAAGAUUGUGACAAACAAAGAUUUGCAAAACCAAAUUCUGGUGGAGCUGAUUGUAAUUCAGAAGGUGAUUGGUAUAAACAUCGUGAUUUCUGGUUGAUUAAAGAUGGCUGUAAUACCUGUUAUUGUUUGAUGCCAGGUAACUUCCGGGGAUAUCAAGUCUGUACAACCACAGAUUGUUCAUUCAUUAAUCACCAUAUUGGAUAGAUUCAUAAAAACAAAGAACAAGAUCGCUUUAAUUUGAGUGAAAAAUAAA